rnacentral:rRNA from 1 species
UAUUAAAGUUGUUGCGGUUAAAAAGCUCGUAGUUGAAUCUGUGUCUCGCGCUGUCGGUUCACCGCCCGCGGUGUCAAACUGGCACGCCGCGAGACGUCCUGCCGGUGGGACGAGGUCCGGGCGGUCACGGGGUGCUCACGCACGUCCGUGGUCCGUUCGUCCCGUCCCGACUCACGAUCCUGUCGCGGUGCUCUUCACUGAGUGUCGAGGCGGGCCGGCACGUUUACUUUGAACAAAUUAGAGUGCUCAAAGCAGGCUCAAACUUCGCCUGAAUACUGUGUGCAUGGAAUAAUGGAACAGGACCUCGGUUCUAUUUUGUUGGUUUUCGGAACCCCGAGGUAAUGAUUAAUAGGGACAGAUGGGGGCAUUCGUAUUGCGACGUUAGAGGUGAAAUUCUUGGACGUCGCAAGACGGACAGAAGCGAAAGCAUUUGCCAAAAAUGUUUUCAUUAAUCAAGAACGAAAGUCAGAGGUUCGAAGGCGAUCAGAUACCGCCCUAGUUCUGACCAUAAACGAUGCCAGCUAGCGAUCCGCCGACGUUCCUCCGAUGACUCGGCGGGCAGCUUCCGGGAAACCAAAGCUUUUGGGUUCCGGGGGAAGUAUGGUUGCAAAGCUGAAACUUAAAGGAAUUGACGGAAGGGCACCACCAGGAGUGGAGCCUGCGGCUUAAUUUGACUCAACACGGGAAACCUCACCAGGCCCGGACACCGGAAGGAUUGACAGAUUGAGAGCUCUUUCUUGAUUCGGUGGGUGGUGGUGCAUGGCCGUUCUUAGUUGGUGGAGCGAUUUGUCUGGUUAAUUCCGAUAACGAACGAGACUCAAGCCUGUUAAAUAGGCGUUACUUUCCGGCAUUCCGAAGGCUCCCGUCAUCCGUUCUCCUUGCUUUUACUGAAUAUUCUUCUUAGAGGGACAGGCGGCUCCUAGCCGCACGAGAUUGAGCAAUAACAGGUCUGUGAUGCCCUUAGAUGUUCUGGGCCGCACGCGCGCUACACUGAAGGAAUCAGCGUGUCCUCCCUGGCCGAGCGGUCCGGGUAACCCGCUGAACCUCCUUCGUGCUAGGGAUUGGGGCUUGCAAUUGUUCCCCAUGAACGAGGAAUUCCCAGUAAGCGCGAGUCAUAAGCUUGCGUUGAUUACGUCCCUGCCCUUUGUACACACCGCCCGUCGCUACUACCGAUUGAAUGAUUUAGUGAGGUUUUCGGACCGGCACGCGGCGAGAUUUCGAUGUUGCCGAUGAUGCUGGGAAGAUGCCCGAACUUGAUCAUUU